rnacentral:rRNA from 1 species
UACGGGGGGAGCAAGCGUUGUUCGGAUUUACUGGGCGUAAAGGGCGCGUAGGCGGUCAGCACAAGUCAGUUGUGAAAUCUCCGGGCUUAACUCGGAAAGGUCAACUGAUACUGUGCGACUAGAGUGCAGAAGGGGCAACUGGAAUUCUCGGUGUAGCGGUGAGAUGCGUAGAUAUCGAGAGGAACACCUGCGGCGAAGGCGGGUUGCUGGGCUGACACUGACGCUGAUGCGCGAAAGCCAGGGGAGCGAACGGG